CCCAGACUCCUACGGGAGGCAGCAGUGGGGGAUAUUGCACAAUGGGGGGAACCCUGAUGCAGCGACGCCGCGUGGGUGAAGGAGCGUUUCGGCGCGUAAAGCCCUAUCGGCAGGGAAGAAGGAGGACGGUACCUGACUAAGAAGCCCCGGCUAACUACGUGCCAGCAGCCGCGGUAAUACGUAGGGGGCAAGCGUUAUCCGGAUUUACUGGGUGUAAAGGGAGCGUAGACGGCAGAGCAAGUCUGAAGUGAAAGCCCGCGGCCCAACUGCGGGACUGCUUUGGAAACUGCCCGGCUAGAGUGCUGGAGAGGUAAGCGGAAUUCCUAGUGUAGCGGUGAAAUGCGUAGAUAUUAGGAGGAACACCAGCGGCGAAGGCGGCUUACUGGACAGUAACUGACGUUGAGGCUCGAAAGCGUGGGGAGCAAACAGGAUUAGAUACCCGCGUACC
rnacentral:rRNA from 1 species